UGGUAGGUGAUGCCCUUCUUUGCCGGC
rnacentral:sRNA from 1 species